rnacentral:rRNA from 1 species
UAGGGAAUCUUCGGCAAUGGGGGGAACCCUGACCGAGCAACGCCGCGUGAGUGAAGAAGGUUUUCGGAUCGUAAAGCUCUGUUGUUAAGGAAGAACGAGUGUGAGAAUGGAAAGUUCAUACUGUGACGGUACUUAACCAGAAAGGGACGGCUAACUACGUGCCAGCAGCCGCGGUAAUACGUAGGUCCCGAGCGUUGUCCGGAUUUAUUGGGCGUAAAGCGAGCGCAGGCGGUUAGAUAAGUCUGAAGUUAAAGGCAGUGGCUCAACCAUUGUAGGCUUUGGAAACUGUUUAACCUGAGUGCAGAAGGGGAGAGUGGAAUUCCAUGUGUAGCGGUGAAAUGCGCAGAGAUAUGGAGGAACACCAGUGGCGAAGGCGACUUUCUGGUCUGUAACUGACGCUGAUGUGCGAAAGCGUGGGGAUCAAACAGG